UGCAGGUAUCUCCAGCAGGUUUGCUCUGGC
rnacentral:piRNA from 2 species